rnacentral:rRNA from 1 species
UACGGAGGGUGCAAGCGUUAAUCGGAAUUACUGGGCGUAAAGCGUGCGCAGGCGGUUUGUUAAGUCUGCUGUGAAAUCCCCGAGCUCAACUUGGGAAUUGCAGUGGAUACUGGCAAGCUGGAGUACGGUAGAGGAAGGUGGAAUUCCCGGUGUAGCAGUGAAAUGCGUAGAGAUCGGGAGGAACACCAGUGGCGAAGGCGGCCUUCUGGACCAGUACUGACGCUCAUGUACGAAAGCGUGGGGAGCAAACAGG